GCCUUCGUGGUGUAGUGGUCAGCACGCUCGACGCGUAUUCGAGAGGUCCGUGGUUCGAGUCCCGGCGAGGGCA
rfam:Stegodyphus mimosarum contig6159, whole genome shotgun sequence.